AGUGAACGCUGGCGGUAUGCCUAACACAUGCAAGUCGAGCGACAGCACAGUAAGAUCUUGCUCUUACGGGUGGCGACUGGCGGACGGGUGAGACAUACAUCAGAUUCUACUUUUUCUUGGGUGAUAACGGGGGAAAACUGACGCUAAUGCCUAAUACGACCUACGGGUUGAAUCAGUAGUGCUUGGCAGUUUUCCCGUUUCUAUUAGCUGGUUUCGCGCCGCAUUAGCUAGUUGGUAAGGUAACGGCCUACCAAGGCAACGAUGCGUAGCUGACCUGAGAGGAUGAUCAGCCACACUGGAACUGAGACACGGUCCAGACUCCUACGGGAGGCAGCAGUGGGGAAUCUUCGACAAUGGGCGAAAGCCUGACCCAGCAACACCGCGUGGGUGAAGAAGGUCUUCGGAUUGUAAAGCUCUUUUGUUGGGAAAGAAAAAAUGCAGAAUAAUCCAUCGCCGUUCUGACGGUACCCAAAGAGUAAGCAACGGCUAACUUCGUG
rnacentral:rRNA from 1 species